rnacentral:rRNA from 1 species
UACGAGUGCCCCAAGCGUUAUCCGGAAUUAUUGGGCGUAAAGGGUGUGUAGGUGGUCUCAUUAGUCUUCUGUCAAAUUCUUCGGCUCAACCGGGGUCUCGCAGAGGAAACGGUGAGACUCGAGGAUGCGAGGGGUCAGUGGAACUCAUGGAGUAGGGGUGAAAUCCGUUGAUAUCAGGUGGAACACCGGAGGCGAAGGCGGAUAACUGGCUCGACACUGACACUGAGACGCGAAAGCGUGGGGAUCAAACAGG